rnacentral:rRNA from 1 species
CAGCAGCCGCGGUAAUACGAAGGGGGCUAGCGUUGCUCGGAAUGACUGGGCGUAAAGGGCGCGUAGGCGGUUUGUACAGUUGGAUGUGAAAUUCCUGGGCUUAACCUGGGGGCUGCAUUCAAUACGUGCAGGCUUGAGUGUGGAAGAGGGUUGUGGAAUUCCCAGUGUAGAGGUGAAAUUCGUAGAUAUUGGGAAGAACACCGGUGGCGAAGGCGGCAACCUGGUCCAUUACUGACGCUGAGGCGCGAAAGCGUGGGGAGCAAACAGGAUUAGAUACCCCUGUAGUCCCUGUCUCUUAUAA